GGCUGUUUUGGGGCCGUUCAGGGUGGUUUUCGGGUGUUUUUGGGGCUGUUUGGGGUGGUUUUGGGCUGUUUUGGGGCCAUUUGGGGUGGUUUCGGGGUGAUUUUGGGUUGUUUUGGGGCCGUUCGGGCUGUUGUUGGGCUGUUCAGGGUGUUUUGGCGCUGGUUUUGGGCCAUUUGGGGUGGUUUUGGGGCUGUUUUGGGGUGUUUUGGGGUCCAUUUGGGUGGUUUUCGGGUGCUUUUGGGGCUGUUUGGGGUGGUUUGGGGCUGUUUUGGGGCCGUUUGGGCUGGUUUUGGGCCAUUUGGGGGUGGUUUUUGGGCUGUUUUGGGGCUGUUGGGGCUGUUUGGGCUGGUUUUGGGCCAUUUGGGGUGGCUUUGGUGUGUUUUGGGGGCUGUUUGGGGCGGUUUUGGUGUGUUUUUGGGGUGUUUUUGGGCUGUUUUUGGGCUGUUCGGGCUGUUUUGGGGUGUUUUGGGGCUGUUUUGGGGCCGUUCAGGGUGGUUUUGGGGUGGUUUUGGGGCUGUUUUGGGGUGUUUUGGGGUCCAUUUGGGUGGUUUUCGGGUGUUUUUGGGGCUGUUUUGGGGUGUUUUUGGGUCCAUUUAGGUGGUUUUCGGGUGUUUUUGGGGCUGUUUGGGGUGGUUUGGGUCUGUUUUGGGGCCGUUUGGGGUGGUUUCGGGGUGAUUUGGGGUUGUUUUGGGGCCGUUCGGGCUGUUUUUGGGCUGUUCAGGGUGUUUUGGGCUGGUUUUGGGCCAUUUGGGGUGGUUUUGGGGCUGUUUUGGGGUGUUUUUGGGUCCAUUUGGGUGGUUUUCGGGUGUUUUUGGGGCUGUUUGGGGUGGUUUGGGGCUGUUUUGGGGCCGUUUGGGCUGGUUUUGGGCCAUUUGGGGUGGUUUUGGUGUGGUUUUGGGGCGGUUUUGGUGUGUUUUGGGCUGUUUUGGGGCUGUUUUGGGGCUGUUUUUAGGUGUUUUGGGGCUGUUUUUGGGCUGUUCGGGGUGUUUUGGGGCUGUUUUUGGGUGUUUUUGGGCUGUUUUUGGGUGACGGUGCCGUUCCCCAGUUCUGCCGCCUGGCCGCUCGCCGGGCGCUGCAGGCGCAGUUGGAGCAGCUCCGCUUCCGCCUCUCCGACCGCUCGCUGCUGCUGCUGCCCGAGUACCACCAGCGCCUCAACGUGAGUGCAGAGCGCCCCAAAAUAUCCCCAAAUGGACCCAAAAUAUCCCCAAA
rnacentral:lncRNA from 1 species